GCGAAGGCAGCGUACCGGCGCCACACUGACGCUGAGGCACGAAAGCGUGGGGAUCGAACAGGAUUAGAUACCCUGGUAGUCCACGCAGUAAACGAUGAAUGCUGGUUGUCCGGGUCGAAUGAGAUCUGGGCGGCGAAGCGAAAGCGAUAAGCAUUCCACCUGGGGAGUACGCCGGCAACGGUGAAACUCAAAGGAAUUGACGGGGGCCCGCACAAGCGGAGGAACAUGUGGUUUAAUUCGAUGAUACGCGAGGAACCUUACCCGGGCUCAAACGGGAGCGGAAUGGACCAGAGACGGUUCAGCCUACGGGUCGCUUCCGAGGUGCUGCAUGGUUGUCGUCAGCUCGUGCCGUGAGGUGUCGGCUUAAGUGCCAUAACGAGCGCAACCCCCGCCGGCAGUUGCUAACGGGCAAUGCCGAGGACUCUGCCGGGACUGCCGCCGCAAGGCGAGAGGAAGGCGGGGAUGACGUCAAAUCAGCACGGCCCUUACGUCCGGGGCGACACACGUGUUACAAUGGGCGGUACAGCGGGAAGCCAGGCGGCGACGCCGAGCGGAACCCGAAAGCCGUUCUCAGUUCGGAUCGGAGUCUGCAACCCGACUCCGUGAAGCUGGAUUCGCUAGUAAUCGCGCAUCAGCCAUGGCGCGGUGAAUACGUUCCCGGGCCUUGUACACACCGCCCGUCAAGCCAUGGGAGCCGGGGGUGCUUGAAGUGCGUCGCCGCGAGGCGCGCCCUAGAGCAAAACCGGUGACUGGGGCUAAGUCGUAACAAGGUAACCGUAA
rnacentral:rRNA from 1 species